GACACAGCAUUAGGCCCAGGGAAGGCAUAAUUAAAGGACUGCUAUGGAUGGAUUUCCCAUUCACCAGGAUGAUUGACCUAGAUGCUGUAGAAAAAUCAGCAGUGAGGAGGCUAGAGGUCUCAGUUUUAUCACUAAUGAAAUCCAGAAUAACUGCUUGGAGAACCUCGUCUCCUCCUUCCUCUUCUCCACACUGCUCAACUGGGCUCCAGCUUAGACUUCUACCUGAUGCUCAGG
rnacentral:lncRNA from 10 species